rnacentral:rRNA from 1 species
AACGAACGCUGGCGGCAUGCCUAACACAUGCAAGUCGAACGGGAUCCUAGCUUGCUAGGUGAGAGUGGCGGACGGGUGAGUAACACGUGGGAAUCUGCCUUUUGGUUCGGGAUAACCGCGGGAAACUGCGGCUAAUACCGAAUGCCCCUCGAGAGAGGAAAGAUUUAUCGCCAGAAGAGGAGCCCGCGUCCGAUUAGGUAGUUGGUGGGGUAAAGGCCUACCAAGCCGACGAUCGGUAGCUGGUCUGAGAGGAUGAUCAGCCACACUGGGACUGAGAUACGGCCCAGACUCCUACGGGAGGCAGCAGUGGGGAAUAUUGGACAAUGGGGGCAACCCUGAUCCAGCAAUGCCGCGUGAGUGAUGAAGGCCUUAGGGUUGUAAAGCUCUUUUGCCAGGGAAGAUGA